GUUGACACAUAACACAGGAACUCCUCAAUCACAAAGGGAGAGAGAAACGCUGAGCUAAGGCACAGUCCACAAACGAGGAACAACAGUCCUGGCCUCCAAAGAGGGACCUCAGAUGUGAAAGCUGAAUACUCCAACCAAAAAAAUAGAGGAUGGAUGAACAGACAGAGUGAAGAAGACGCGGCCACCAGCUGCCAACAAGGGACUCAACUCAGCUCUCGGGGACUUACAAACUGAAACAGUGAAAAGCGAUGGUGAGCAUGGGAUACACAAGCCAGGAGCUACUGUGGUCAUGGCGUCUCUUCACAGGAAUACAACAGUGACUGAGACAGUCACAGAGUCCGAUUAUCAAAAGGAACCUGGAUUGAGCCUCUGGAGGGCUCAGUGAACUUUGCAGGCAGAAAGAAGAGUUUUAUAGCCAGUGGAGAUGGAGGACACCAAGAAAACAAGAGCCUCCAACUGAAUCAACCUAAUAAAGCACAUACAGACACCGAGG